rnacentral:rRNA from 1 species
GGCUCAGAUUGAACGCUGGCGGCAUGCCUUACACAUGCAAGUCGAACGGCAGCACGGGGGCAACCCUGGUGGCGAGUGGCGAACGGGUGAGUAAUACAUCGGAACGUGUCCUGUAGUGGGGGAAUAGGCCCGGGCGAAAAGCCCGGAAUUAAAUAACCGGCAUAACGAUCCUAAAGGGAAGAAAAGGCGGGGGGAUCUUUCGGAACCUUCGCGCUUAUAAGGGGCGGCCGAUGGCAGAUUAGCUAGUUGGUGGGGUUAAAGGCCUACCAAGGCGACGAUCUGUAGCUGGUCUGAGAGGACGACCAGCCACACUGGGACUGAGACACGGCCCAGACUCCUACGGGAGGCAGCAGUGGGGAAUUUUGGACAAAUGGGGGAAACCCUGAUCCAGCACAUGCCGCGUGUGUGAAGAAGGCCUUCGGGUUGUAAAGCACUUUUGUCCGGAAAGAACACUUCCUGGUUCAUACCUGGGGAGGCUGACGGUACCGGAAGCAAUAAGCACCG